GUUCAGCUGACGAGUUCUAAAUAGGACGAAACGCACAUCCUGGAU
rnacentral:hammerhead_ribozyme from 1 species